GCAAACUANANACCCCUCCCGUAGNGAGCGGGUAUACUUCUUUGAGGGACAAUCGGCUUUUACNCNAACGAAAAANANCAAUAACAGGUCUGUGAUGCCCUUAAAUGUUCUGGGCCGCACGCGCGCUACACUGAAAGAUACAACGGGUGUNUCACUUUGCUCGGAAGANUUGAGUAACCCUGCANCGUCUUUCGUGCCAGGGAUCGGGGAUUGCAAUUAUUUCCCGUGAACNAGGAAUUCCCAGUAAGCGCGAGUCAUCAGCUCGUGUUGAUUACGUCCCUGCCCUUUGUACACACCGGCCGUNGCUUCUACCGAUUGGAUUAGUACGUGAGGAGUUUGGACC
rnacentral:rRNA from 1 species